rnacentral:rRNA from 1 species
GAUGAACGCUAGCUACAGGCUUAACACAUGCAAGUCGAGGGGCAGCAUGGUCUUAGCUUGCUAAGGCCGAUGGCGACCGGCGCACGGGUGAGUAACACGUAUCCAACCUGCCGUCUACUCUUGGACAGCCUUCUGAAAGGAAGAUUAAUACAAGAUGGCAUCAUGAGUCCGCAUGUUCACAUGAUUAAAGGUAUUCCGGUAGACGAUGGGGAUGCGUUCCAUUAGAUAGUAGGCGGGGUAACGGCCCACCUAGUCUUCGAUGGAUAGGGGUUCUGAGAGGAAGGUCCCCCACAUUGGAACUGAGACACGGUCCAAACUCCUACGGGAGGCAGCAGUGAGGAAUAUUGGUCAAUGGGCGAGAGCCUGAACCAGCCAAGUAGCGUGAAGGAUGACUGCCCUAUGGGUUGUAAACUUCUUUUAUAUAAGAAUAAAGUGCAGUAUGUAUACUGUUUUGUAUGUAAUUAUAUGAAUAAGGAUCGGCUAACUCCGU